rnacentral:rRNA from 1 species
CCUACGGGCGGCUGCAGUGGGGAAUAUUGGACAAUGGGGGAAACCCUGAUCCAGCCAUGCCGCGUGUGUGAAGAAGGUCUUCGGAUUGUAAAGCACUUUAAGUUGGGAGGAAGGGCUUACUAUUAAUACUAGUAAGUUUUGACGUUACCGACAGAAUAAGCACCGGCUAACUUCGUGCCAGCAGCCGCGGUAAUACGAAGGGUGCAAGCGUUAAUCGGAAUUACUGGGCGUAAAGCGCGCGUAGGUGGUUCAGUAAGUUAGGAGUGAAAGCCCCGGGCUCAACCUGGGAAUUGCUUCUAAAACUGCUGGGCUAGAGUACGGUAGAGGGUGGUGGAAUUUCCUGUGUAGCGGUGAAAUGCGUAGAUAUAGGAAGGAACAUCAGUGGCGAAGGCGACCACCUGGACUGAUACUGACACUGAGGUGCGAAAGCGUGGGGAGCAAACAGGAUUAGAUACCCCGGUAGUC